GGUACGAACGAUACACUGAAAUAAAUCAGUAAGGCUAUUUUAUCGGAAAUUUCAUAUAGUAUUAAUCUGUCGAUCGACAUGUUUGUUUCAAGUUGUAUCCCAUACGCUCCAUAUGCUAAACAGGUUGAGUGUAACUGCAACCUUAUGUAUUUUACAAAGAUUCGUAUACGAAGAAUUUAUAUGCAAGUCAAAUGUACAGUAUAGGAAGAGAUACAAGGAUUGCAUAUAACCUUCACUAUAUUGUCCAGGUUGCACAUCACAUAUGCGCGAGUGUCAUGUAGGUAGUACCAUUUUCAUGUCAAAGCGGUAGAGCAAAAAGUGCUUAGUACGAAUCCACACGUUUUCAGGACAGAAUUUUGAUUUUUUGAAUUUGUAAUCCAACCGGAAAUGACCAGAUCCAAAGGUGACCGACACUGUUUUCAAACUAAAUCGGUAUCCGAUUCUCAAAGAUGUUCUAUGUCGGCAUUUCAUUUCAAACUGCAACCACAAUGAAAUUGACAAGAUGCCAAGAUGCGCUGGAGAAACUUUCAACUCUUAAGUUAAGGAGUGGCGGAUCGAUUUACUGCAACUAAUUAUAUAGUUCUUAAAUUUGUAUGUACAUUUAAUCUGAAGCAUGAAAAUAUGAGCAAAUUGAAAUUUAAUAAGUUUAAUAAUUUCAAAAAAAUAUGGUCUGGGUAUGUUCUUAUCGUAUUCAUAGAAUCCUAAUUUAAAUUACAUGUGAAGCAAAAUCAAACGAAUUAGAACUUCAUAUAAAAAGAA
rnacentral:lncRNA from 1 species